rnacentral:rRNA from 1 species
GAUGAACGCUAGCUACAGGCUUAACACAUGCAAGUCGAGGGACCGGCGCACGGGUGAGUAACACGUAUCCAACCUGCCCUUUACUCGGGGAUAGCCUUUCGAAAGAAAGAUUAAUACCCGAUAUAAAGGAUGGGGAUGCGUUCAAUUAGGUUGUUGGUGAGGUAACGGCCCACCAAGCCUUCGGUGGAUAGGGGUUCUGAGAGGAAGGUCCCCCACAUUUGAACUGCGGCCCGGGCCAAAAGCCUACGGGAGGCAGGAGUGAGGAAUACUGGUCAAUGGGCGUUGGCCGGAACCAGCCAAGUAGCGUGAAGGAUGAAGGCUUAUGGGUCGUAAACUUGUUUUAUAUAAGAAUCUGUAUUAUAUGAAUAAGGAUCGGCUAACUCCGUGCCAGCAGCCGCGGUAAUUC